rnacentral:rRNA from 1 species
AUUGAACGCUGGCGGCAGGCUUAACACAUGCAAGUCGAGCGAGCGGCGGACGGGUGAGUAAUGUCUGGGAAACUGCCUGAUGGCGGGGGAUAACUACUGGAAACGGUAGCUAAUACCGCAUACCAUCAGAUGUGCCCAGAGGGGAUUAGCUAGUAGGUGGGGUAAUGGCUCACCUAGGCGACGAUCCCUAGCGGAUCUGAGAGGAUGACCGGCCACACUGGAACUGAGACACGGUCCAGACUCCGACGGGAGGCAGCAGUGGGGAAUAUUGCACAAUGGGCGCAAGCCUGAUGCAGCAAUGCCGCGUGUGUGAAGAAGGUCUUCGGGUCGUAAAGCACUUUCAGCAGGGAGGCGUUACUCGAAGAAGAAGCACCGGCUAACUCCGUGCCAGCAGCCGCGGUAAUAC